ACGAAGGGGGCUAGCGUUGUUCGGAUUUACUGGGCGUAAAGCGCACGUAGGCGGGUUGUUAAGUCAGGGGUGAAAUCCUGGAGCUCAACUCCAGAACUGCCUUUGAUACUGGCAACCUAGAGGCUGGAAGAGGUUAGUGGAAUUCCCAGUGUAGAGGUGAAAUUCGUAGAUAUUCGGAAGAACACCAGUGGCGAAGGCGGCUCACUGGCCCGGUACUGACGCUGAGGUGCGAAAGCGUGGGGAGCAAACAGGA
rnacentral:rRNA from 1 species